rnacentral:rRNA from 1 species
UGUGAGCUCGAUGAGUAGGGCGGGACACGUGGUAUCCUGUCUGAAUAUGGGGGGACCAUCCUCCAAGGCUAAAUACUCCUGACUGACCGAUAGUGAACCAGUACCGUGAGGGAAAGGCGAAAAGAACCCCGGCGAGGGGAGUGAAAAAGAACCUGAAACCGUGUACGUACAAGCAGUGGGAGCACGCUUAGGCGUGUGACUGCGUACCUUUUGUAUAAUGGGUCAGCGACUUAUAUUCUGUAGCAAGGUUAACCGAAUAGGGGAGCCGAAGGGAAACCGAGUCUUAACUGGGCGUUAAGUUGCAGGGUAUAGACCCGAAACCCGGUGAUCUAGCCAUGGGCAGGUUGAAGGUUGGGUAACACUAACUGGAGGACCGAACCGACUAAUGUUGAAAAAUUAGCGGAUGACUUGUGGCUGGGGGUGAAAGGCCAAUCAAACCGGGAGAUAGCUGGUUCUCCCCGAAAGCUAUUUAGGUAGCGCCUCGUGAAUUCAUCUCCGGGGGUAGAGCACUGUUUCGGCAAGGGGGUCAUCCCGACUUACCAACCCGAUGCAAACUGCGAAUACCGGAGAAUGUUAUCACGGGAGACACACGGCGGGUGCUAACGUCCGUCGUGAAGAGGGAAACAACCCAGACCGCCAGCUAAGGUCCCAAAGUCAUGGUUAAGUGGGAAACGAUGUGGGAAGGCCCAGACAGCCAGGAUGUUGGCUUAGAAGCAGCCAUCAUUUAAAGAAAGCGUAAUAGCUCACUGGUCGAGUCGGCCUGCGCGGAAGAUGUAACGGGGCUAAACCAUGCACCGAAGCUGCGGCAGCGACGCUUAUGCGUUGUUGGGUAGGGGAGCGUUCUGUAAGCCUGUGAAGGUGUGCUGUGAGGCAUGCUGGAGGUAUCAGAAGUGCGAAUGCUGACAUAAGUAACGAUAAAGCGGGUGAAAAGCCCGCUCGCCGGAAGACCAAGGGUUCCUGUCCAACGUUAAUCGGGGCAGGGUGAGUCGACCCCUAAGGCGAGGCCGAAAGGCGUAGUCGAUGGGAAACAGGUUAAUAUUCCUGUACUUGGUGUUACUGCGAAGGGGGGACGGAGAAGGCUAUGUUGGCCGGGCGACGGUUGUCCCGGUUUAAGCGUGUAGGCUGGUUUUCCAGGCAAAUCCGGAAAAUCAAGGCUGAGGCGUGAUGACGAGGCACUACGGUGCUGAAGCAACAAAUGCCCUGCUUCCAGGAAAAGCCUCUAAGCAUCAGGUAACAUCAAAUCGUACCCCAAACCGACACAGGUGGUCAGGUAGAGAAUACCAAGGCGCUUGAGAGAACUCGGGUGAAGGAACUAGGCAAAAUGGUGCCGUAACUUCGGGAGAAGGCACGCUGAUAUGUAGGUGAAGUCCCUCGCGGAUGGAGCUGAAAUCAGUCGAAGAUACCAGCUGGCUGCAACUGUUUAUUAAAAACACAGCACUGUGCAAACACGAAAGUGGACGUAUACGGUGUGACGCCUGCCCGGUGCCGGAAGGUUAAUUGAUGGGGUUAGC